CCACAGGAUCAGGAUCAGAGUUGAAGGAUGCCUCAGCUGACCUUCCAAUUCCGAAGUCGGUGACUUUUGUUCCCAAGAAAAAGGCAGGUGAACUUAAAGCAGGUAAUUACAGCUGCAAGGUUAAGCAAGAUGAGGAAGAGGAUGGUAAUCAAUCCUUGCGGAAUACAAUCUUACCUGUUGGCAUUGCAGCUGGGGAAUCACAAGAGUCUGAAGCUGGUGUAGUGGAGGAAGAUGAAAGAGAAAGAAAUGACAUAAUCAAAAGUGAUGGUUCCCAAAAGGCUAGUCGCAAGUAUCGAACAAGGUCAGGCACAGAUGAAUCUGAUCCUUGACUCCCUGUG
rnacentral:misc_RNA from 1 species